GCCCCAGUAGCUCAGUGGAUAGAGCAUCGGCCUCCGGAGCCGGGUGCGGAGGUUCGAUCCCUCCCUGGGGCACCA
rnacentral:tRNA from 1 species